GGCUGAGUCAAAUGUGGCGACGAUUCUUAGAGCCGGAAGUCCCAAAGCAGUGUGGAGAGAGCGACGGAACAAACAGAACUGUCUGGAUGGCAGCAACAGAUAGAAAAAUCUGCGGUGUCUCUAGCCACAGCACUGAAGCCACACCCAGAAUUUAAAUUUGGAUGACAUCCAUUGUAUUUGU
rnacentral:lncRNA from 1 species